GCACUCUCACACCUAACCUUUGGGUUUUGUUGUGGAAUUGGGAUGCGCCGAUUUCAAUGGUCGGCACUCCUAAAAUGUAGCUCUUGGCUGUUUCCUACUACAGCAGUUUGGCCUAAUAGUUUUGACUUUUGUCAAAUCUUUGGCUACAUUUGCUUCUGGAAAUCAGUCUUGAUAAUACAGAAAACUCAUUUCAAA
rnacentral:misc_RNA from 1 species